GAUGAACGCUGGCGGCGUGCCUAAUACAUGCAAGUCGAGCGAACGGACGAGAAGCUUGCUUCUCUGAUGUUAGCGGCGGACGGGUGAGUAACACGUGGAUAACCUACCUAUAAGACUGGGAUAACUUCGGGAAACCGUAGCUAAUACCGGAUAAUAUUUUGAACCGCAUGGUUCAAAAGUGAAAGACGGUCUUGCUGUCACUUAUAGAUGGAUCCGCGCUGCAUUAGCUAGUUGGUAAGGUAACGGCUUACCAAGGCAACGAUGCAUAGCCGACCUGAGAGGGGGAUCGGCCACACGGGAAGUGAGAAACGGCCCAAACCCCUACGGGAGGCAGCAGGAGGGAAUCUUCCGAAAUGGGCGAAAGCCUGACGGAGCAACGCCGGGGGAGUGAAGAAGGUCUUCGGAUCGUAAAACCCUGUUAUUAGGGAAAAAAAUAUGUGUAAGUAACUGUGCACAUCUUGACGGUACCAAAUCAAAAAGCCCCGGCUAACUACGU
rnacentral:rRNA from 1 species